AGUGAACGCUGGCGGUGGGCCUAACACAUGCAAGUCGAACGGCAGCACAGUAAGAGCUUGCUCUUACGGGUGGCGAGUGGCAGACGGGUGAGGAAUACAUCGGAAUCUACUUUUUCGUGGGGGAUAACGUAGGGAAACUUACGCUAAUACCGCAUACGACCUACGGGUGAAAGCAGGGGAUCUUCGGACCUUGCGCGAUUGAAUGAGCCGAUGUCGGAUUAGCUAGUUGGCGGGGUAAAGGCCCACCAAGGCGACGAUCCGUAGCUGGUCUGAGAGGAUGAUCAGCCACACUGGAACUGAGACACGGUCCAGACUCCUACGGGAGGCAGCAGUGGGGAAUAUUGGACAAUGGGCGCAAGCCUGAUCCAGCCAUACCGCGUGGGUGAAGAAGGCCUUCGGGUUGUAAAGCCCUUUUGUUGGGAAAGAAAAGCAGCAGGUUAAUACCCCGCUGUUCUGACGGUACCCAAAGAAUAAGCACCGGCUAACUUCGUG
rnacentral:rRNA from 1 species